rnacentral:misc_RNA from 1 species
UUUUUUUUUUAAUUUUUUUUUUAUCUAUGCAACAAUUUAUUAUGUUAAAUUACCCAUAUAACUCCAUUAAAAUAAUUUUAUACCCAUUAAACUUUUAAAAUAUUAUUAUGUUAAUAAAUUUAGACUUUUUUGCUUUGACAAUCAUUGUAUUUAUUGUACAACCUUUAGAUUAAUAAUUAUUGUAUUUAUUGUUUUCACAAUUAAAAAUCUAGCAUAUCCAUUAAUUUAUUUGCUUGUGAAAUUGGCAUUAAUAUUACCUAUUGCAUUUGCAAGUGUUGAAAAGGUAUUUUCUACAUGAAAUUAUGAAGCCUCGAUUGCGGAAUUGAAUGGGAGAUUGUUGAAUGAUUUUUUAAUUGCAUAUAUUAAAAUAUAUUUUUGAUAGCAUUGAUAAAUGAGGCAAUCAAGUAAUGCAUUCAGAAAAUUAAAAUUCGUUAAGGAAAAUUAUAAAUUUAAGAUUAUUGCGAGAAUUUAUUAUUUUAUAAAAUCAUUUUCUUUUUUACUCAAUUAUUGUUACAUAUUGAAAAUUUACAUGCAUUAUUAUAUUUUUUUUCUUUCAAUAAAUAGUUUAUGAUUGUAUACAAUAUUUACCUUUUUCACUAAAUUGAGCAAAAUAAAAUUUUUUGACAUCACUAACUCAAUUUUCUAGCUCUUUCCCUGCCUGUGACACUUCCCAUGCUGGUUUUGAGACCCCUAAAACCACCUUAAUCGCUAGUAUUUGUGCAUGUAUUUGUAGUGGAGUGCACGAAUUUGCCAGGUGUCUCCUUCUCUCUUUCCUUUUUCAUGGAUUUGCACAUGUACAUCUCCACAUCUGCAAAUUCAUUGUUAGAUCUGCUAACAUGUCUUUAUUUAUACAAUGAACUUGAAGUGAAAUUUCAACUCCUAUGUUCCUUUGCUAUAAUUGAUGAUAUUAGUGAAUGUCUGAGGUAUUGUUAGUAAAUGUUUGGUUUUCAUGUGCCUCUAUAAAUUAAAUCAUGAUUUGUUGAUUCUUGGAUUAUCGUGGCUGGUACUUGUUAAAAAAUUUCAGAU